rnacentral:rRNA from 1 species
AACGAACGCUGGCGGCAUGCCUAACACAUGCAAGUCGAACGAGACCUUCGGGUCUAGUGGCGCACGGGUGCGUAACGCGUGGGAACCUGCCCUUAGGUUCGGAAUAACUCCCCGAAAGGGGUGCUAAUACCGGAUAAUGUCUUCGGACCAAAGAUUUAUCGCCUUUGGAUGGGCCCGCGUUGGAUUAGCUAGUUGGUAGGGUAAAAGCCUACCAAGGCGACGAUCCAUAGCUGGUCUGAGAGGAUGAUCAGCCACACUGGGACUGAGACACGGCCCAGACUCCUACGGGAGGCAGCAGUGGGGAAUAUUGGACAGUGGGCGAAAGCCUGAUCCAGCAAUGCCGCGUGAGUGAUGAAGGCCUUAGGGUUGUAAAGCUCUUUUACCCGGGAUGAUAAUGACAGUACCAGGAGAAUAAGCUCCGGCUAACUCCGUG